AUUGCCUGCCCAGUGACUAAAGUUAAACGGCCGCGGUAUCCUGACCGUGCAAAGGUAGCAUAAUCACUUGUUCCUUAAUUAGGGACUAGCAUGAAUGGCUAAACGAGGAUUCAACUGUCUCUUAUUCUCAAUCAGUGAAAUUGACCUUCCAGUGAAGAGGCUGGAAUAACACAAUAAGACGAGAAGACCCUAUGGAGCUUAAAUUUACUAGCUUAAUUAUAAAACUAUUAACCCUAUUGGCCAAAAACAAAAAUAUAAGCUAAAAAUUUCGGUUGGGGUGACCUCGGAGAAUAAUAAACCCUCCGAAUGAUUAUAGCAUAGACCUACAAGUCAAAACAAUCUGUUUAAUCUUAUUGACCCAAAUUCUUUUUUGAUCAACGGACCAAGUUACCCUAGGGAUAACAGCGCAAUCCUAUUUAAGAGUCCAUAUCGACAAUUAGGGUUUACGACCUCGAUGUUGGAUCAGGGCAUCCCAAUGGUGCAGAAGCUAUUAAUGGUUCGUUUG
rnacentral:rRNA from 1 species